UCCCAUUUACCACCCACGAUACUAUUGCGGUUCAUCUCAACUCCCCAAAAUUUUCUCCAGAAAGCUAAACUAAAAAUUUCAUUCCCAAUCCCCCAAAUCAAAAAAUUUAAGGGUUCCCUUCAAACUAAAAUCGCCGAGUUCCCUUCAAUCCAAAUUUAUCGAGGUCAUCUGCGGUUUUUCUAGUGUCAUCUCUGGAAAAUCUUUACUGACGACAAAAUUCAAUUGUGGAGGAUUUGGAUGUUAGUGUUGUGAUUUGCGUUUUACAGGUUUAUGAAUUGGGAAUUUGCGAUUUGGCAUGUGUAAAUGGGAUGCAGUCCAGAAGGAUUUUGAAGGAUCUCAAGGUAGAGUACAUUAAUAAUCCGGCUUCAGGGAACUGACUGAUAGAUCGAGAAUUCGAGCAGCAGGACAAGGGAGCUAUUAGGAUAAGGGAGCUAUCAGGAACAACAAUAUUGAUGUAGGAUUGUACUUUCAGACAUCAGGUGAGUUUUCCUCUUAUUUCUGUAAUGUCAUCCUAUUCAAGUUCAUCUGCAUCUUCUUCUUUCUCGAUCUUAUUCUUGUAAGUUGCUAAAUGUAUAGAACUAAUGGUAUCGUCUCAUUCCACACACUACUUGGCUCUGAUUCUGGUACUUGAAAUAAGUUAUAUUCUGUGAAGUUAAGCAUUCAUAUAGUAUUUCAUUUUUCCCUCAAAAGGUUAGUUUCGGCGAUUUGGAUAUACUCUUGCAGGUUAAGGAGCUGCAUAGGUUGUAUAGUGUACAAAGAAGGAAAAUGAACGAGCUAAAACAAGAAACCAAGCGACCAACCACAUAUUAUCAAAAUUACUUGAAAAAUUAUUGAUCUUCCGUGGAUCAAAUUUUAUCAAGGGAAAGCAAAGGUUGGAGUUGCUCAACUGAUACUGCUGCCUGCAGAUCAUCAGUAGCAAACUAUUUUGACCUUGAAAGACGUAUUCAUAAAAAUUGCAUUGAUAGUGGAUAAUAUGAUACUGGAUUCAUGAAACGAGAUCAUCGAUCACAAGAAUUCAUGAAGAUGUAUAUUUCAAAAUAAUGGUCUAGUGAUCAAGAUCAAAUCAAAGAAGUGAGAACUCAUUGACAAAUGAAGUGAGAGCUCACUGGGUGGGUCAUGUUAUUUUUAUUUAUUUUUUGUGUAACUUUUUCCUUGGUGUACAACAAUGUAUAUUAUACAUGGUUAGACUCU